CAGCCGCCACGGUAAUACGAAGGGUGCAAGCGUUAAUCGGAAUUACUGGGCGUAAAGCGUGCGCAGGCGGUUUGUUAAGACAGAUGUGAAAUCCCCGGGCUCAACCUGGGAACUGCAUUUGUGACUGGCAAGCUAGAGUGUGGCAGAGGGGGGUGGAAUUCCGCGUGUAGCAGUGAAAUGCGUAGAUAUGCGGAGGAACACCGAUGGCGAAGGCAGCCCCCUGGGCCAACACUGACGCUCAUGCACGAAAGCGUGGGGAGCAAACAGGGUUAGAUACCCCUGUAGUCCCUGUCUCUUAUAC
rnacentral:rRNA from 1 species